rnacentral:lncRNA from 1 species
AAGAUACUCAUCACUGUGGGCAAACUAAUGACACAUGUUAAGGAGUUCAGUCUUAUGGAAAUCAUCUAAAGGUUUGGAAAUUAGUCACUGAUGAUCUCUACCAAGAAGACAGACUAUGUCAUCCUCUCAUUUGCCUUCUGAACAGCAACAAUGAAAAUUCUUUCCAAAAUCAUAGCGGGGUUUUCAAUAUCCACAGAGAAAAUGACCAUUUCAUAGUCUAGUUAUUUCAACCUUCACAAUGACCAUUUCAAUUAAGUAUUGUGACCAAAUUACCUAGAAAUCAGCUGCAACUCCACUGACCAAAGGAUCUCUAUGGAAAGAAUAAUUCAAAGUCUCUAUGGAUUACUGGUGGAUGUUUGGGUAGCAACAUCAUGAUCAACCUAUUGUUUUACCUCCAACACAGAUUAACCCACAUUUUCAAGGAUGAAAAUUAACCACUUAAGAAAAAACUACUAUAGAUAAGCAAUCAAAAGUCUUGGAGAAGGCUAGGUGGAAGAUCAUUAAGCUAAUGCUGUUAAGCUGUAGUGGAUCAUCAUAAAUCACACAAAGGAAAAUAAAAGGGAAAUUUUGAAAAUGA